UACGUAGGGGGCAAGCGUUGUCCGGAUUUAUUGGGCGUAAAGAGCGUGUAGGCGGCCAGACAGGUCCGUUGUGAAAACUCGAGGCUCAACCUCGAGAUGUCGAUGGAAACCGUCUGGCUAGAGUCCGGCAGAGGAGUGUGGAAUUCCUGGUGUAGCGGUGAAAUGCGCAGAUAUCAGGAAGAACACCUAUGGCGAAGGCAGCACUCUGGGACGGUACUGACGCUGAGACGCGAAAGCGUGGGGAGCAAACAGG
rnacentral:rRNA from 1 species